rnacentral:lncRNA from 1 species
AUGCUGUAAUAAUUCUGGCAGAUUGAUAGAGAAUCUAGGACAGCAAUUUCCUCUUGCGUCCCUUGGUCGAAACGGAGCAAAAUGCAGACGCCGUCUUCUUCGGCGAAAGAAGCAAAACAAAAAAUGGCUUCCAUGUAAACAAAACGAAAACAUGCAUCCAAAUCUCGAGGACAUAAAAGAGGCAAAUGGGACUUCCCUUUCAGCUAAUAAAAGACCGAAGAGAUGGUUGAGGCAAAU